GAUGAACGCUGGCGGCGUGCCUAAUACAUGCAAGUCGAGCGAACAGAUGAGGAGCUUGCUCCUCUGACGUUAGCGGCGGACGGGUGAGUAACACGUGGAUAACCUACCUAUAAGACUGGGAUAACUUCGGGAAACCGGAGCUAAUACCGGAUAAUAUAUUGAACCGCAUGGUUCAAUAGUGAAAGACGGUUUUGCUGUCACUUAUAGAUGGAUCCGCGCCGCAUUAGCUAGUUGGUAAGGUAACGGCUUACCAAGGCAACGAUGCGUAGCCGACCUGAGAGGGUGAUCGGCCACACUGGAACUGAGACACGGUCCAGACUCCUACGGGAGGCAGCAGUAGGGAAUCUUCCGCAAGGGGCGAAAGCCUGACGGAGCAACGCCGAGUGAGUGAUGAAGGUCUUCGGAUCGUAAAACUCUGUUAUUAGGGAAGAACAAAUGUGUAAGUAACUAUGCACGUCUUGACGGUACCUAAUCAGAAAGCCACGGCUAACUACGUG
rnacentral:rRNA from 1 species